rnacentral:tRNA from 1 species
CCCCAAAGCAUAGCACUGAAGAUGCUAAGAUGUUGCCACCCGCACCCGAGGAC